rnacentral:rRNA from 1 species
UUGAACGCUGGCGGCAUGCUUUACACAUGCAAGUCGAACGGUAACAGGCCUUCGGGUGCUGACGAGUGGCGAACGGGUGAGUAAUGCAUCGGAACGUACCCAGAGGUGGGGGAUAACGCAGCGAAAGCUGUGCUAAUACCGCAUGUGAUCUGAGGAUGAAAGCGGGGGACCGAGCAGCAAUGUUUGGCCUCGCGCCUUUGGAGCGGCCGAUGUCGGAUUAGCUAGUUGGUGGGGUAAAGGCCUACCAAGGCGACGAUCCGUAGCUGGUCUGAGAGGACGACCAGCCACGCUGGGACUGAGACACGGCCCAGACUCCUACGGGAGGCAGCAGUGGGGAAUUUUGGACAAUGGGCGCAAGCCUGAUCCAGCAAUGCCGCGUGCGGGAAGAAGGCCUUCGGGUUGUAAACCGCUUUUGGCAGGAACGAAACGGUGUCCGCUAAUACCGGGCGCUAAUGACGGUACCUGCAGAAUAAGCACCGGCUAACUACGUG